GGACUACCCGCUGAACUUAAGCAUAUCAAUAAGCGGAGGAAAAGAAACCAACAGGGAUUGCCUCAGUAACGGCGAGUGAAGCGGCAAAAGCUCAAAUUUGAAAUCCUUCGGGAGUUGUAAUUUGUAGGUUGGGAGACCCCGCGGCUAGUGGCACCAAGUCCCUUGGAACAGGGCGCCUUAGAGGGUGAGAGCCCCGUAGGUACCACAACACCGUCUUGUGUCUCCUCUCCAAAGAGUCGAGUUGUUUGGGAAUGCAGCUCAAAGUGGGUGGUAAAUUCCAUCUAAAGCUAAAUACCGGCGAGAGACCGAUAGCGAACAAGUACAGUGAUGGAAAGAUGAAAAGCACUUUGAAAAGAGAGUGAAACAGUACGUGAAAUUGUUGAAAGGGAAGGGCUUGCAAGCAGACACGGCCUUCGUGCCGGGCCAGCAUCGGUUGCUAGGGGUGGAUAAGGAACAAGGAAUGUAGCUCCUCGGAGUAUUAUAGCCUUGCGCGAUACACCCACUGGCGACCGAGGCCUGCGGUAUUCCUACCUAGGAUGC
rnacentral:rRNA from 1 species